UACGUAGGUGGCAAGCGUUGUCCGGAAUUAUUGGGCGUAAAGGGCUCGUAGGCGGUUUGUCGCGUCGGGAGUGAAAUCCACUGGCUUAACUGGUGGCUUGCUUUCGAUACGGGCAGACUGGAGGUAUGCAGGGGAGAACGGAAUUCCUGGUGUAGCGGUGAAAUGCGCAGAUAUCAGGAGGAACACCGGUGGCGAAGGCGGUUCUCUGGGCAUGUCCUGACGCUGAGGAGCGAAAGCGUGGGGAGCAAACAGG
rnacentral:rRNA from 1 species